rnacentral:tRNA from 1 species
CAGGAUGUGGGGAAGUCUGGGAUCCCGCGUGCCUUGGGAGCACGAGAUCGUCGGUUCGAAUCCGACCGUCCUGA